CUAGUCGGUGGAUCACUCGGCUCGUGGGUCGAUGAAGAUCGCAGCUAAAUGCGAUA
rnacentral:rRNA from 1 species